CCAGGUAAACAAACCGAUCGAUUCCUGAUCACCGUUCUUGUCGAUUGGAAAAUCAAAAUACCAGCGUGAUAUUGCCGCGAAGAUGAAGCAGUUAUGUUACUUGAUUCGUACUUCAUAUUCGAGUCGAAGCUUGGGUGGCACAGGUUAUUUCUUGCGGUGGAAUCGGCGAGGGGAAUUCGAACACUAGUUGUAGUGUUUGAAUUUUUGAAAGAAAUGGUCGCAUGAGGAUUAUUUACCUGCUUGAUUUAUAUCGGUUACGCUUCAUGUUGACAAGUCCCUCAAAAUGGCGGCCAAACUUGGAGAUUGCCGAAAAUUAGGAAUUGUUUUUCAUUGACCUAAGACUUAAAAUCAGAAGGAGGAAGUCCGCUCCAUUUUUCAACGCGCACCACCACCGUGUACUCAGCCAAAGCCCACCUUAGUUAUUACAGACCAAGGUUGAAUGACAGUGAAUUCAGGGAUUUGUGCACAGCGAGAGACUCACCAGCAAGGAAAGAAGAUUCAACUGAAAUAACAAGAAGCAGCAGAUUUCCUCUGAAGUUUUGUAGGCACAGAUGACUGGAGAACGUACCCAUUGUAAUAUGAGC